AAUGUCUGCCGUCCCCGCUGCCGCCCCCUUCAGCUCAACAGCGGCACUGCCACCGGGUUCCUACGCCUCUCUGGAUGCGGCUGGUAAUGUGGAGGGUCGUGUGCGAAUGAGACGACAGAGUUCAGAGACGGUACCUGGGGGCGGAGCCUCUGUGACAGACAGCAGGGGGCGGAGGCCGAGCCCAA